CAUGUCCUUUUGAUAAUAAUAUAAGGUCUGAUCUGCUCAAUGAAAGUUAAAUAGCCGCAGUAUUUUGACUGUGCAAAGGUAGCAUAAUAAUUAGUUUCUUGAUUAGGAACUGGAAUGAAUGAUUGGACAAGAAAAUUACUGUCUCUUUUUUAAUGUUAUUGAAUUUUAUUUUUAAGUGAAAAAGCUUAAAUUUUUAUAAAAGACGAGAAGACCCUAUAGAGUUUAAUAUUCUUUUUAAAUUUUAAUUUAGAAUUUAUAUUUUGAAGAGUUUAUUUAGUUGGGGUGAUUUAAAGAUUAAGAAAAUUCUUUAAUUUAUAAAUUGAAAAUUUACAACUUUUUUAUCUAUAUUUAUAAAAUUAAAAUAAAUUACCUUAGGGAUAACAGCGUAAUUUUUCUUUAAAGUUCUUAUUGUAAGAAGAGUUUGCGACCUCGAUGUUGGAUUAAAAUUAAUUUUUGGUGCAGUAACUAAAAAAUUAGGUCUGUUCGACCUUUAAAAUUUUACAUGAUCUGAGUUUAGACCGGUGUGAGCCAGGUCGGAUUCUAUCUUUAAAAAAUUAUUAUAUUUUAGUACGAAAGGACCAAAUAUAAAUUAAAUUAAUUGUUAUUUUGGCAGAUUAGUGUAUUUGAUUUAGAAUCAUUUUAAGUAAAAUUUAUUACAAGUAAUAUUUGAAUUUGUUAGAUUUAGUUUUGAUUUUUAUAUGUUUAAUUAUGUUUGUGAUUUUUGUUUUAGUGGGUGUAGCUUUUUUUACAUUAUUGG
rnacentral:rRNA from 1 species